rnacentral:lncRNA from 7 species
UAAAUGGGGAUUUGCAAAGAAAGACCGCGUGAUUUUUCGGGUUAAACAUAGAUUUCCGAAUAGAAAACGUGUGAUUUUCGGGUCAAAUGGGGGAUUCUCGAAGAGUAACCACCAGAUUUUCGCUUAAAUGAAGGAUUUGCAAAGAGGAAGCGUGUGAUUUCUGCUUAAAUGGGGGAUUCUCAAAAAGAGAAAACGCGUGAUUUUUGCUUAAAUGGGGAAUUUCCGAAGAAAAAACGCGUGAUUUACUGUUAAAUGGCGGAUUUCCAAGUAGAAACCGCGUGAUUUUCUCUUAAAUGGGUGAUUAUCAAAGAGAAAAAGCAUGAUUUUCUCUUAAAUGGGAGAUUCUUGAUGAGAAAACGCGUGAUUUUUGGGUUUAAUGGGGGAUUGUCGAAGAAACCACCUGAUU